rnacentral:rRNA from 1 species
AGUGAACGCUGGCGGUAGGCCUAACACAUGCAAGUCGAACGGCAGCACAGUAAGAGCUUGCUCUUACGGGUGGCGAGUCGCGUACGGGUGAGGAAUACAUCGGAAUCUACUUUUUCGUGAGGGAUAACGUAGGGAAACUUACGCUAAUACCGCAUACGACCUCCGGGUGAAAGCAGGGGAUCUUCGGACCUUGCGCGAUUGAAUGAGCCGAUGUCGGAUUAGCUAGUUGGCGGGGUAAAGGCCCACCAAGGCGACGAUCCGUAGCUGGUCUGAGAGGAAGAUCAGCCACACUGGAAGUGAGAAAGGGUCCAGACUCCUACGGGAGGACGCAGUGGGGAAUAUUGGACAAUGGGGGCAAGCCUGAUCCAGCCAUACCGCGUGGGUGAAGAAGGCGUUAGGGUUGUAGAGCCAUUUUGUUGGGAGAGAAAAGCAGCAGGUUAAUACCCCGCUGUUCUGACGGUACCCAAAGAAUAAGCACCGGCUAACUUCGUG